rnacentral:lncRNA from 1 species
GUGAUGAAUUGGAGAAGAGCGUCAAUAGAGUCAGUGGCAGACCUGUGCGUGAACAUUUAAAGAGUGCUGUUCUACAGUCUCCAUAUACAGGAACAUUUGGAUCGGCUGGGUUAUCGUCUAAUGCAUCAGGUGCUAGUCAAAGAGUUGCUGUUAUUUCUGCAUUUCCCAAGGUUUGCAUGGAUAUGCCGUCCAAAUUUGAAGAGGCAUUGUUUGAACAGUGGUUUAAAAUAGGACUUAACAACAGGAAAAGGUUUGUUUUUUACUGUUAACAAUGCUAUAGUUUUUUUAUGAAACAAAUAAAUUUGCUUUUGGGUAGUGUGUAUAUUAACAUGGUAAUUGUUAAUGUCAACGUGUAUACUAAUAUGUUUUUAUAUUGAAGGACGAACAAAUUUCUUGGGAAGAAUGACAUUAUCGAACCUGCUUUUGUAUUUGGGUCUAUCCCAAUUUCAUCUAAAAUGUGGUUUUAUAAAUUAAAGACUCCUGGGCAAUGGUUAGACGAUGAUGUGAGUUCUUUUUUUUUAAAUUAUGUUUCUAUAUUUAUGGUUACAUUAUUUAUUUGUUUAAGUAAAUAGCUUUAACAGUGUUGGUUACUGUCAUAUACCUGAUUUGUUACUGUCAUAUGACUGUUUUGUUACUAUUAUAUUACUGUUUUGUUACUAUCAUAUAACUAUUUGGUUACUAUUAUAUAAUUGUUUGGUUACUAUCAUAAAUGUUUUAUAUAUAUGUUGGUUACCAUCAUAUAAAAUGAUAUGUUAAUAUUUAAGCAUGUUUUGGUUGCUAUGAUAUAAGUGGUUGGUUACUGUCAUAUAUAUGUUUUGUUAUUAUUAUAUUACUGUUUGGUUACUAGUAUACAACUAUUUGUUUACUAUUAUAUAAUUGUCUGGUUACUAUGAUAUAUGUUUUAUAUAUGUUUUGGUUGCCAACAUAUAAAUUGAUAUGUUACUAUAUAAACAUGUUUUGGUUGCUAUGAUAUAAGUGGUUGGUUACUGUCAUAUAACUGUUUUGUUAUUGUCAUAUACCUAUUUUGUUACUAUCAUAUUACUGUUUUGUUAAUAUCGUACAACUUUUUGGUUACUAUUAUAUAAUUUUUUGGUUACUAUCAUAUAUGUUCUAUAUAUGUUUUUGUUACCAUCAUAUAAACUGAUAUGUUGAUAUAUAAACAUGUUUUGGUUACUAUGAUAUAAGUGGUUGGUUACAGUCAUAUAACUAUUUUGUUACUGUCAUAUAACUGUUUUGUUACUAUUAUAUUACUAUUUGGUUACUAUGUUACAAGUGUUUGGUUACUAUUAUAUAAUUGUUUGGUUACUAUCAUGUAUGUUAUAUAUAUGUUUUUGUUACCAUCAUAUAAACUGAUAUGUUGAUAUAUAAACAUGUUUUGGUUACUAUGAUAAAAGUUGUUGGUUACUAUCAUAUAACUGUUUUGUUACUGUCAUAUUACUGUUUUGUUACUAUCAUAUUACUGUUUGGUUACUAUCUUGCAACUGUUUGGUUUACUAUUAUAUAAUUGAUUGGUUACUAUCAUAUAUAUAUAUAUAUAUAUGUGUGUGUUGGUUAGCAUCAUAUAUGUUUUAUGUUUUUUUUUAAAUUAUGUUUUUAUAGUUACGGUUACAUUAUUUAGAUGUUUAAGUAACUAGCAUUAACAGUGUUGGUUACAUUGAUUACAUAAUGUUAUUUUUCAACACUAUUAAUAUUUUUUUUUUUGUUCAGCAUAUCAAUGUUGCAUUAUAUUACUUCCGUAAAUUGGCCAGACAUUCUGAUACUGUGCAUAUAAGGGCAACGACUACGGAUUGUUGGUUCCAUGCCAAGAUGACCUCUCUUUUUGAAGAGUAUACAAGAAAAAAUUCAGAUAAGAGUGUAUUGUCUGGGGAGGGUGAUGUUGCUGAGUACAUUCAUGGACUGUUUAUGGAUGUCAACACACCAUGGAAAAAUGUUGACUAUGUUUUGUUCCCCAUACAUAUGUCAUCACCGGACCAUUGGUUUUUGUUAACAUUUGAUGUGCAUCGUAGACGUCUAACUGUUUAUAAUUCUCUGUAGCCCAAAAGGAAAUCCAUGCAAACAAAAAUCAUGGAUGUUUGUGAACCGUAUAUAUUUAUUCUUUCCACUUUAUUGCGCAAGAUUGGAUUUUGGAGGGAUAGGAGUGACAUUGACUUUAGCAG